UACGUAGGGGGCAAGCGUUGUCCGGAAUUAUUGGGCGUAAAGAGCGUGUAGGCGGUCCGGUAAGUUAGCUGUGAAAGUCAAGGGCUCAACCCUUGAAAGCCGGUUGAUACUGUCGGGCUAGAGUCCGGAAGAGGCGAGUGGAAUUCCCGGUGUAGCGGUGAAAUGCGCAGAUAUCGGGAGGAACACCAAUGGCGAAGGCAGCUCGCUGGGACGGUACUGACGCUGAGACGCGAAAGCGUGGGGAGCAAACAGG
rnacentral:rRNA from 1 species